rnacentral:rRNA from 1 species
UUUUUAUAAGGAUAACUACGGAAAAGCUGUAGCUAAUACUUGCUUUAAUGCUCCAGACGUGUUACGUCUUGUGAGCAUGUACUUGUUAAGCCUUUAUAAGAAAAAAGUUAAUAACUUAAGGAAUGAUAACAAAGAAGUGACACAUAAAAAGGACUCGUCCCAUUUUCUAGUGUGUAUCAAUCGAGUUUCUGACCUAUCAGCUUUUGAUGUUAGGGUAUUGGCCUAACAUGGCUAUGACGGGUAACGGGGAAUUAGAGUUCGAUUCCGGAGAGGGAGCCUGAGAAAUAGCUACCACAUCUAAGGAAGGCAGCAGGCGCGUAAAUUACCCAAUUCUAAAGAAGAGAGGUAGUGACAAGAAAUAACAAUACAAGACCAAAACUGGUUUUGUAAUUGGAAUGAUGGGAAUUUAAAUCCUUCCCAUAAUACAAUUGGAGGGCAAGUCUGGUGCCAGCAGCCGCGGUAAUUCCAGCUCCAAUAGCGUAUAUUAAAAUUGUUGCAGUUAAAACGCUCGUAGUUGAAUUUCAAAGAACCGAUAUUUUAAUAAUGCUGUUAGCUAGAGCCACAAAAAGUCMAGCCACUAUGGUUUCGGUUUUAUGUGCGCAUCUCUACCUAUCAAGCGUUUUUUUAAWUAAAGUGUUUCUUUUUAAAAUCUUCUUUAGCUUAAAACAUAUGGAAGAUUUUGKUACUUUGAGUAAAUUAAAGUGUUCAAAGCAAACAGAUAUAGCAUAAUGCGUUUGAAUACUACAGCAUGGAAUAACAAAAUUGAACAAGUCAAAACUAUGUUUCUUUUUUUUUAUUUUUGGCUUAGUUACGAUUAAUAGGAGUAGUUUGGGGACAUUUGUAUUCAGAUGUCAGARGUGAAAUUCUUAGAUUUUCUGGAGACAAACAACUGCGAAGGCAUUUGUCUAAAAUACUUCCAUUAAUCAAGAACGAAAGUUAAGGGAGUGAAGACGAUCAGAUACCGUCGUAAUCUUAACCAUAAACUAUACCGACUAGGUUUUGGAUGAAAGUAAAACAAAUAAGGAUAGUCUCUUCGGGGAUAGUCCUUAGAUUUCUUCCUUCAGUACCCUAUGAGAAAUCAAAGUCUUUGGGUUCUGGGGCGAGUAUUCGCGCAAGCGAGAAAGUUAAAAGAAUUGACGGAAGGGCACCACCAGGCGUGGAGCUUGCGGCUUAAUUUGACUCAACACGGGAAAACUCACUAGUUUAAGACAAGAGUAGGAUUGACAGAUUGAGAGCUCUUUCUUGAUUUCUUGGAUGGUGAUGCAUGGCCGUUUUUAGUUCGUGAAUAUGAUUUGUCUGGUUAAUUCCGAUAACGAACGAGAUCUUAACCUGCUAAUUAGCGGCAAAUACGAUAUAUUCUUACGUGGAAUUGCAUACUUAUGGUUUGUCUCUAUUGAGCUGCAUGAUAGUGAAGGGUCGUGAUUGCUUCUCUUGUCAAUCUUUUCUUAAUCGAAUCGUUGAUGUGUUUUGUAUAUCUCGUUCUUUCAUUACCUUGCAAUCACUCAUUUGCCUUAUCAUACUGUUUCUCUUUUGCGUAAGAAUGUAUUUGCUUGAUUGUAAAGCUUCUUAGAGGCACCAUGUG